rnacentral:misc_RNA from 1 species
AGAUUUAUCUCCUUCAACUUAAUUGUUUCUGCCAGUUCACAUUGAUGCCUGAAGGCAUUUGCUCUCUCAGCUAUGGUGGCUUUAAUAGAUUGCACAGCACGAACAUAAUCUUUCAAAGGUUCCUCAAAAUUCAUUAGAAGUUGAUGGGCCUCUUUCUGCAGCCUAACAGAUAACACCUCUGAUUUAGUCCCAAGGUCAGAAAAUGCCUUCCCAAGGGCAUGUCCUUCGCAAGCACCAAGGAGUUUGGCCGCCUUUCCAAAAUCUGAUAGAGAUUGCCC